rnacentral:rRNA from 1 species
GCAGUCGACGGUACAGAAAGCAGCUUGCUGCUUUGCUGACGAGUGGCGGACGGGUGAGUAAUGUCUGGGAAACUGCCUGAUGGAGGGGGAUAACUACUGGAAACGGUAGCUAAUACCGCAUAACGUCGCAAGACCAAAGAGGGGGACCUUCGGGCCUCUUGCCAUCGGAUGUGCCCAGAUGGGAUUAGCUUGUUGGUGGGGUAACGGCUCACCUAGGCGACGAUCCCUAGCUGGUCUGAGAGGAUGACCAGCCACACUGGAACUGAGACACGGUCCAGACUCCUACGGGAGGCAGCAGUGGGGAAUAUUGCACAAUGGGCGCAAGCCUGAUGCAGCCAUGCCGCGUGUAUGAAGAAGGCCUUCGGGUUGUAAAGANCUUUCAGCGGGGAGGAAGGGAGUAAAGUUAAUACCUUUGCUCAUUGACGUUACCCGCAGAAGAAGCACCGGCUAACUCCGUGCCAGCAGCCGCGGUAAUACGGAGGGUGCAAGCGUUAAUCGGAAUUACUGGGCGUAAAGCGCACGCAGGCGGUUUGUUAAGUCAGAUGUGAAAUCCCCGGGCUCAACCUGGGAACUGCAUCUGAUACUGGCAAGCUUGAGUCUCGUAGAGGGGGGUAGAAUUCCAGGUGUAGCGGUGAAAUGCGUAGAGAUCUGGAGGAAUACCGGUGGCGA